AUUCUGGCUUCAACAAACAUACUAAAAUAUUAAAAGUUAUGAUCUCUAAAUUUAAAGGAUUUGGCGGUAAUUUAGUCCAGUUAGAGGAACCUGUUUUAUAAACGAUACACCACGAAAAAUCUUACCUCUCUUCAGUUUGUAUACCGUCAUUAUUAGAUAACUUUUAAAAAAUAAGUUAUUAUAAUAAAUAUAGUUUAAUAUAUUAGAUCAAGGUGCAGCGCAUAGAUAGGAGUUUAAUGGGUUACAAUAAAAUUUAUUUAUACGGAUAUUUUCUUUAAACAGUACAUUAAAGGAGGAUUUAAUAGUAAAAUUAGUUUAAUAAGCUAAUUUGAUAAAGGACCUAAAUUGUGUACAUAUCGCCCGUCACUUUCAUUACUAAAUGAAAUAAGUCGUAACAUAG
rnacentral:rRNA from 1 species